ensembl:lncRNA
AAAUGCUUGAGCACAGGGACUAUCCCCGACAUACUAAAACAAGCUACUGUUACACCUCUCCUUAAGAAUCCUUCACUUGAUGAUAGAGAUUUUAAUAAUUUUCGACCCUUCCUUUUAUUACAAAAAUAUUGGAGAAACGGUUCUCUAUCAACUCCAGUCUUUUCUUAACUCAAAUCAAAUUCUUGAAACUUUCCAGUCUGGUUUUAAGCCUCUGCACAGCACUGAGUCUGCUUUAUUAAGGGUCUCUAAUGAUAUACUGCUAUCGACUGACGCUGGUGACUCUGUGAUCCUAAUACUGUUAGACUUAACCUCGGCUUUUGAUACAGUAGAUCAUAAAACUCUUUUAUCCCGGCUAGAAUUUUAUGUGGGCUUCCAGGGAACUGUCCUAAGUUGGUUUAGAUCCUAUCUAACAAUUGGCCCCCAUUACCACUUUAAUUGCAGUAACAGCGAUCUGCAUUACCUUUCUCCAACUUCAUCUUGCACUAAGAACUUACGUGUUCUCUGGGACCACAACCUCAAAUUUGAAAAACAAAUAAAUGCGGUGAUUAGUUCUUGUUUCUUCCAGCUACGUCUUCUAUCAAAGGUCAAAUCCUCUCUUUCUGAGAAAACCUUAGAGAUUGCUGUCCAUGCGCUAAUUACAUCACGGUUGGAUUAUUGCAACUCUCUCUACUAUGGUAUUGCCAAACACUCUAUUGCUUGUCUCCAAUUAGUACAGAAUGCUGCUGCAAAGUUCCUCAAAAGGAAACGUAAAUUCGAUCAUGUUUCUCCUAUCUUAAAAUCACUGCAUUGGCUACCUGUGCAUUUUAGAAUUGAGUUUAAAAUUCUUCUCUUUGUUUUUAAAUCCGUAAGCAAUCUGGCACCGAGCUAUUUGUCCGAGCUUCUCUGUCCACACAAUCCCACACGAAACCUGAGGUCUGGUGAUCAGAGACUUUUGGCUGUCCCCAGAUCACGGCUAAAGAAAAGAGGAGACAGAGCCUUUGCGAUUGCCGGGCCUUACAUCCGAACGGCUCAAUCUCGAACUAUUUUUAAAUUUUCUCUUAAAACCUACUUUUUUUUCUUUAGCUUUUAAUUCAUUGUGAUAUCAUAUCAUGAAAGUGUCUUUUUUUUAUUUUUUGUAUUUUAUUAUUAUUAUUAUCUUGUGUAUUGUUCAGCACUUUGGUCAGCCCUGCUUGCUGUUUUUAAAUGUGCUAUAUAAAUAAAUACAAACUUGAAACUUGAAACUUGAAUAUUCUAAUUUAUUUUAACAUUUUAACAGAAUAUUCCAAAAUGAAUUCUUGGUACAUAAACUCUU